GUGAACGCUGGCGGUAGGCCUAACACAUGCAAGUCGCACGGCAGCACAGUAAGAGCUUGCUCUUACGGGUGGCGAGUGGCGGACGGGUGAGGAAUACAUCGGAAUCUACUUUUUCGUGGGGGAUAACGUAGGGAAACUUACGCUAAUACCGCAUACGACCUACGGGUGAAAGCAGGGGAUCUUCGGACCUUGCGCGAUUGAAUGAGCCGAUGCCGGAUUAGCUAGUUGGCGGGGUAAAGGCCCACCAAGGCGACGAUCCGUAGCUGGUCUGAGAGGAUGAUCAGCCACACUGGAGCUGAGACACGGUCCAGACUCCUACGGGAGGCAGCAGUGGGGAAUAUUGGACAAUGGGCGCAAGCCUGAUCCAGCCAUACCGCGUGGGUGAAGAAGGCCUUCGGGUUGUAAAGCCCUUUUGUUGGGAAAGAAAAGCAGCAGGUUAAUACCCCGCUGUUCUGACGGUACCCAAAGAAUAAGCACCGGCUAACUUCGUG
rnacentral:rRNA from 1 species